rnacentral:lncRNA from 1 species
CACAAUCGAGUACCAACCGUCUCCCGAGUUCACUUGGCCAGAGACGGUCCACAGCGAACCUGCUGAGCUGCUUCUCCACUUCGCGAGGCCGCAGCCUCAGGGCUCUAGGCAGAAAAACUACCUGUGAAAGACUGAGAAGACGGCUGACUCCAUCCAGGGGCCGCAGGCCACACUGCAGCAGCCACACGCCUGUCACAGACACCCCAGGGACGGUCUCCAGGGGAGUGACCACCCGUGACCUGUCAAAAUCAAGAAGCUGCAAGAGUCCUGAAGAGUUUUCUGAGAAGGGACCCAAAGGAACGAUUGGGUUGUCAUCCUCAAAGGGGCUUUGCUGAUGUUCAGGAGCAUCCCUCCUUUCAAAAUGUUGACUGGAACAUGAUGGACUGAAAGCAACUCGUGCCUCCCUUUAAACCAAAUAUGUCUGAGGAAUUCAGUUUGGACAACUUCGAUUCUCAGUUUACUGAUGAACCUGUCCAACUCAUCCCAGAUGAAAAUGACAUCAUGAGGAAAAUGGAAGGAUAUGAAUUUGCAGGUUUUGAGUAUAACAAUCAUCUUUCAAUGUAUGAAGAAGAAUGGGUCUGAUCCUCAUUUUUCAACUAUGCAUUCUGGUUAUUACUAUUUAAUGCUUGGGAAAAACUUGUUAUCAGCCUGGAUUCAAUGAACCACUUCAUAACUGUCUAGCAGCUAAUUGUAAUUUAUUUUUUGUAUUUGUAUUUAGAUGUAAUAUUUGAUUCUUACAGUCUAUAAUAGGGAAUAUUGAAUGGUUUUGUUGAUAAAUGGAAACAUAUUCCAUUUGUUGAGUGGUGACAAAAAGUAUAAUAUUUUUUCUAGUUAUUUACUAUAUAGAAAAAUAAUUUGUCUUUGAAGUACAAUGUCUUACCUGUGCUUGUUAAUUUCAAACCAUAUUACCUAUACCUUUUGGACCCCAGUUUAUGUAGUCUUCAGGGAAUCCAAAAAAUUGUAACACUUUUCAAUUAAUCUGCAGAAAACACAUAUAUAUUAUAGUUCUGUCUCCUUAGUUAAGUUUUUUUAAAUUUAGUAAGAUAACCCAUGAAAUACGUAGUAGAAUUCAUUUCAGGGGCAAAGUUCUUCAAAAUAUUUUUAUUAAAAUUACUGGUCAGCAAUUUAUUUAAAGAGUUACCAGAUAUAUAGCAUUCCUGUCUUAGUACUAUUUUUAGGCAAAGUACUUGAAAAGGACCCAUCAUUGUGUAAAUAGGUUACAAUGAUACAAUCUGAGUAAAAUUUAAUUUUAAAUACACAAGUUUUAAAUUUAGAAUGAUUUAAAAUUUGUA